UAAGAAAGCAAGAGAAAGUCUUCAUCUUCUUUCUUUUCUUGAAGUGCCGUGAGCUAGGGAAGGAGGGGAGACUUCAUUGUUUUUGGGUUCUAGCCGAAACUAAAGAAAGAAAAAGGGGAAAGUGUUUUGGGAAUGUUCGGUCUUUUGGAGGCCAAUUUCUAAGCUCAAGAACAAAGGACACCAACUUCGGAUAGGGGAAAAGAGAAAGUAGUUGAAUAGCCGAUUUGUACUAAGUCGAUCAAAUUCAAGGUAAGUUCUUAAGUAUUUGAGUUUGAUUCCUUUGUAAGUUUUAAGUAUUAAAGCCUAUAAUGUGAUUGAGUAUGAUAUGUUAAGCACAUAUUAAAAGAAUCAUAACUCUAUUGUAAAUUUUUAUGCAUAUAGCCUAAUGGCUAUUAUGAAGUAUAGGUAAGUUAUUGAUAUGAUAUGUUGCCAAAUGGAUAUGAUAUUAUGAAGUGCUAAAAGGAUAUGUCAGAAGAGUAAAAUUGUGAUAAACCUGUUCAGGACAGCAGCAGUAACAUGAAUUUAGAAAAUCACCAUAAAUUGUUGGAGUUGAAUGGGAGGCUGAAUAAAUUAUGAAAUUAAAGCUUAAUGAGUCUAGUUUCUUAUAAAAGAAACCGUGUAAGAAAAUUUAUUUCCGAUAAUGAGAUAUUUAAAGUUGUGUGAGACAGUUCAGAAUGACACUGUAAUCCUCUGUUCCGUUUUUAGAAAAUCAUUAUAAAUUGUACAAAAAUGGUUAUAAGAUAAAAUUUAUAUGCUUAGACUCCUUAAUGAGUCUAGUUUCAAAUGAAAUCAAAUACAACACAUUUUGAAUUCUGUAAAAUAAGAAAUCUGAUUCGUAGUGAAGAGUGGUCAGAUUAGUCAAACAGUGAAACAGAGGAAACUUUAAGAAAAAUCUGGUAUUGAUUGGCCAAACCUAAAAUUCUGGAAAUUUUAUGGGUGGAAGAUAUACGAGCCUAUAUUCAGAAGAAUUAACGGAAAGUGAUUUGGAGUUUUGUAGCUCCAGUUAUAAAUAAUUUAGUGACUAUUGCUCAGGAAAAACAGCUUGUGCUGAAUUUGAGAUUAUGUUGUGAACCUUGAUAAACUUGUUUUAGUUUCUCACAAGCUAUUGAUUAAACCCAUACUUGAAUUCUAAAUCGUGAUAUUGUAAGUUCUUGAGUAAUAGAGCUUAAAUUAUGAUUUGAUUAGAUCAUGUUUUAAGCAAAUCAAAAUCAUGCUCUUUGUGUGUGGCUAUUGAGCCGAAAUUUCAAGAAUGAUGAGUGUCUUGUGUUUGAGUUUUGCUAACGAAAAUGAAAUACGAAUGUGCCAUGAUUUAUUGUUAAAUGUGCAUGGUUAUUUGAAUGAUGUCUAGGCUAAGUCCCGAAGGCUUUGUGCUAAGUGACCAUAUCCGAACUAAGAUCCGAAGGCAUUUGUGCGAGAUACUAAUUCCGGGCUAGCCCGAAGGCAUUUGUGCGAGUUACUAUAACCGGGCUAUGUCCCGAAGGCAUUUGAACGAGUAGCUAUAUCCGGUUAAAUUUCGAAGGUAUGUGAUUUGGGAAUGAAUGAUCUUGCUGUAAAAAUUUCAGUUAAUACGCUUGAAACAUCCCAACAUUGAGGUAUGUUUCGUAUGUGCUUUGAAUUAGUUGAGCCCUUACAAAUAAGUAUUCGCUCAGUUGAUAAAUGAGCUACCGGCCUUUGGCUAAGUUGAUCUUUGUGUAUGAAUAAAAGGGUUGGUAAUGUGAAAGUGUAUAUAUGUGAUAAGACCUAAUGGCCGAUGUGAUGAAUGUGGAAGUGUAUAUAUGUGAUAAGGCCUAAUGACCGAUGUGAUGAAUGUGAAAGUGUAUAUAUGUGAUAAGGCCUAAUGGCCGAUGUGAUGAAUGUGAAAGUGUAUAUAUGUGAUAAGGCCUAAUGGCCGAUGUGAUGAAUGUGAAAGUGUAUAUAUGUGAGAAGGCCUAAUGGCCGAUGUGAUGAAUGUGAAAGUGUAUAUAUGUGAUAAGGCCUAAUGGCCGAUGUGAUGAAUGUGAAAGUGUAUAUAUGUAACAGGGCCGAGUGGCCAACGUGAUGGAUGUGAAAGUGUAUAAAUGUGAUAAGUCCCG
rnacentral:lncRNA from 1 species